UACGGGAGGCANCNGNGNGGAAUAUUGGANAAUGGGCNCAAGCCUGAUGCNGCCAUGCCGNGUGUAUGAAGAANGCCUUCNGGUNGUAAANUACUUUCAGCGGGGAGGAAGGUGUUGUGGUUAAUAACCACAGCAAUUGACGUUACCCGCAGAAGAAGCACCGGCUAACUCCGUGCCAGCAGCCGCGGUAAUACGGAGGGUGCAAGCGUUAAUCGGAAUUACUGGGCGUAAAGCGCGCGCAGGCGGUCUGUCAAGUCGGAUGUGAAAUCCCCGGGCUCAACCUGGGAACUGCAUUCAAAACUGACUGACUAGAGUAUGGUAGAGGGUGGUGGAAUUUCCUGUGUAGCGGUGAAAUGCGUAGAUAUAGGAAGGAACACCAGUGGCGAAGGCGACCACCUGGACUGAUACUGACACUGAGGUGCGAAAGCGUGGGGAGCAAACGGGAUUAGAUACCCUGGUAGUCCACGCCGUAAACGAUGAGUGCUAAGUGUUAGGGGGUUUCCGCCCCUUAGUUGCCAGCAUUCAGUUGGGCACUCUAGGGGGACUGCCGGUGAUAAGCCGAGAGGAAGGUGGGGAUGACGUCAAGUCCUCAUGGCCCUUACGGGCUGGGCUACACACGUGCUACAAUGGCGGUGACAGUGGGCAGCGAACUCGCGAGAGGGAGCUAAUCUCCAAAAGCCGUCUCAGUUCGGAUUGUUCUCUGCAACUCGAGAGCAUGAAGUUGGAAUCGCUAGUAAUCGCGUAACAGCAUGACGCGGUGAAUACGUUCCCGGGCCUUGUACACACCGCCCGUCACNCCAUGGGAGUUGGGUUUACCCGAAGGCAGUGCGCUANCCGCAAGGGGGCAGCUGACCNCGGUAGGCUCAGCGACUGGGGUGAAGUCGUAACAAGGUAACC
rnacentral:rRNA from 1 species